CUCCAACACAUCGUCGUUUUGCACGUAACCCGCUGAAAAUGACCGCGUCGUGAAUGGAACCGUGCGGGCUCCACACGCGUGUAAACGGCGGUUCGAGCGGAAAACGCCGCUGCGUGCAUUCAAAUAAAAGUGCAGACUCCAUGACUCAGCUUCCACAGAACCUGGAUGACGGGAACCGUCACUGGCUCCUUCCUGGGUAUUUCCCUCCCUGCUUUGCCUCGGGGGCUUGUAUGGAAGUUUGACGUGAGUUUCAUUUAAUUAGGGACACAUGAAACAAACAAAUUUGCUAUUAAAUACAACUGUUGGGAAACGACUUUGUUUUAGAAACCUAUUGUUGGGACAGUCUUGACCUACACGCUUUGAAUAAUAGAGUCAAAGGGGCUCUUCAAAAUGAGUCAUAGCUUUUCUUAUAGCAGUUGCUGUUGAAGCUGUGUCCUGAUUGUUUAUGGACUUAACCUUCUUUUUUCUUGAUACAUUCAGUUGAGCAACUUGCUUCCAUACAGUAGAAACGUGCUUGAUCACAGCUGAUUUAAAGAUGCUCUGGUGCUCACCUCCGAGGUGAUUCUAUCACAGAUUAACGAGGUGACUAAGACUUGGAGCAUGUGAUUAAUGGGUUUGUCUGCAGGAGAAGAAAACCUGUGUCAACCAGCUUUGCUUUUCUAAAUCUGAUGAACACAAGACCCACCCAAGCUCCUCACGCCUAUGAAGCAGGCAAACAUAUUGAUCAUUAAAAGUCAUUGUCAUGACAAUACAUCACAAUACAAUCAUCAAGUCGUGUCAGUAACACAAGAUGCAGUUUUGUUACAUUUAGAACAAUCUACAGUUACUACAGUUAAGGUUAACGGUUUCACAGCUGAUAAAGAUGUGGCAACACUGAACCCGGACCGUGGGGUGUGCAGAUGUUAGGGCCCCUCCUCUGUAACAUCUGGCCUUCACCAUUUGCAGUGUCAGUAUUAUAGCCUAUGAAGUAUUUUGGUAUUGUUGCUUUAAAAUGAUCAUAUUUUGACUCAAACUAUUGUAUGAACUAAAAACUUUAAAAAUCACUGCACUUUAAUUACCUUUAGAACCAUCCACAAACAUCAAUGUUACAUACUGUCUGUAACGUCUAUCCUCUUCUUGCAGUAGCAGUGUCAUAGUCUAUGGACUUUAUCUGAGACGCUAUCAUUACUGGAUGAAAACUUUAAUGUGGCAUUAUAUGUGGAGCCUUCUUUGAAUUAAUGUACAGUUCUGCUGACAGUGACAUCACUAAACACAUCUCAAUUAUUAUUGUCCACAACUAAAAGCAUAUGUAAAUAUUAUGUAAUAGAGCCUUAAUUCAUUUGAAAUUGUUUCAAAGUUGUAAACGAUUGUUCAAAUUUAAACCAAACAACCAUGAAUCACACAGACUAAUAGAUUACAUAGAACAAAAAGGACAGAUACAUGUUUUUUAUCAUACUUAUUUAAUCACACAUACAUUUACAUCAUGCAGUCAAUCCAAAACUGUGAUCUCAUUACUUCCCAUUUCUGUCCGUAUCAGAGCCCUGCUAUUUGUGCCCCAGUUCUCCAGGAAUGAUCCAGUACCUUUGCUGCUGAUGGAUCCUCAAAACCCUUAAGAAAUUGACCCACUAUUACACAGUAAUAAAAUGAUGCAUUUAUAUUCUGUCAAUUAAAUUAAAUGCCACAAGUCUUCUUUGCUGUGUUUAUUUACCAUUUUUAUAUCCAGUUUUGGUGAAAGGUCAAAUGAUAAACAUUUUGAGGUCCACGCUGCAGAGUUUAAAUUAACUAGAUAAUUACGCAGAGGGAAUAAACCAUCUGGAUACACAUCAAACACUGUCCUGUCAUAGAUUCACUCAACUCCUUCCAGCAGCUUUCACUUCAGUUUUUUUUGCUGUCAAUCAGUUCAGUUACAGGGCGCCGGCAACCUUUUAUGUUGCAGUUAAAAACAUG